CCCCAUUUCACAUACUACUUAUGUCUGUGAAUUAAACUGUUGCAGAUUGCUUCAGAGUUCAGACAAGUUCCUCCACAGCCUCUAUACAAGUGCCUAGCGAUGGCAUUGUAUGAUUCUGUAACCUGUGGAAAGGCAUCUAAGAAAAAGGACUUGGCGGAUGAAGACAGUGAGUCCAAACAGAGAAGAGAAUGGAAUGAUUUGGUUCUGAAUGAAGGAACUGAAUUGAUAUUAAAGACUGUAAACUUUGAACUUCAUGUUCAGGAGCCUUUCUUCACAUAACUGAAAGAUGGGCUGAAAACAAUUGAAGGGAGGUGUGCUGUAGGUAACUAUAAAUGGUAGAGUUGGUGUCUGUUUACUUUUAUGUAGUUGGUACCCAUUUCUUUCUGGUGCAAUUUAGGUUUCUUGUUUGACUUUUUAUGUGUCUAUUUUGGUUAUUCCCCUUCGUUUGGUUCCAGAAUGGCAUCAGGAGCAGCAAUCCUUUUCAAUAAGUGUGUUGCUUCAGGUUCAGGUGAUAAUAAUUCCAUUCAAACUUCCUAUGCUUUCUUGUUGCAAUUUGGUUUUCUAAUAACCUCUUCUCAGCAAGAUUUUCAUCGCUAUGCUUCAUUUUUUGAGAUGUUGGAAGCAGGGCCUUGAAAAGUCCUUCCUGGAGUAAACACCAUAGCUGAAGGUAACAACCUGCACUUCACCGGAAAAAAA